UGCACAUCUCACAUCAAAGCCACCCACUCAAGCCCGGAGCAAGCAACACUCACUUAGUCCAGAGGCCACCCUCACUCCAACCAUCAGAUAACAGUACUAAGCAGAGGAGGAGACCUGCAUGGGUCAACAUGCAGUCAAUAACUUGUUAAUCUUUUACAGACUAAGUGGGAACUUCUAAAAGCUGGGCUGUUUGAUCCCAACCUGGAGGCUGCUUUUGUGCGUGUGUGCGUGGAGCUUAGGAUGGGGCGGGCGGCGUACCGAGGCCUGGAACGGUGAGCCAGGCGAGAAGUAAUGGCGGCUUCCAUUUCUCUGGGUUGCAGGGAUGACUGCUGCGGAUUCCAGAAGGGGCUUAGUUACGAGCACGUCUCGCAGCGUCUUGCGGCCACGGACGCUGUUUAUCUAGGCACGACGGUACAGAGGAUAUGCUCUUUAAACAUGGCAGACUGCUCCUGUGGCCAUGCUGGCUUGGAGUGGCACUCAACGCUCUUAGCUACAAAACCACAUCCACAAUUCAAUUGAGAGCUUCGAGGACGGGAGGGGAAAAAUAAAAAAGUGGGAGGAGGAAAAGGAGGCAAUCAUUGCUUUAAUACAACACUUCAACGAAAUUCGGCUUCUAUGGAAUCGGUGUAACCAAGGUGACCACGAGGUCACGUCCAUACAAUAAGGAUGGAACAGCACGCUAUUACUAGGCCCACGCGGUACCCACACACAUAUCUAAUGCUGAGAGUAGAAUGAAUCUGUGGAAAGAGUUAAAUAUAGUCAAAUGUGUGAAAUAAGCUGAAAACCGUAACAAAUUAACCAAUGUAUGCAAUAAACAAAUGAAGAAGCAGGAAACUUAUAAAACAAUUAAUAAUACUUGGGAGAAUUCUUCGAAAAUCCUAAGAGCAUUUCUUCGAACACUACGUCUAAGAAAUAAAGCUCUCAAACCUGAGUUAGUGAUUUUUAAGUGACAAUUUCAUCUCAAGGAAUGAAAAAACACUGCAACCACAUAAAAACACAAUAGCAGCACAGCGAACACUCACAAGUAAACACCAAACCAAUUGUUAAAAUAUAAAAAUGUAGGUGGAAUAAACUUCUGAGAUUAGUCCGGUCUCUCAGAUCUCUCUCAAUUUUUUAGAAACAAACCGCCUUUGUUAAUUUAGAUGAUGCCUAAAAGUACAGUGAAACCUGUUUCACACUCAGAUGUGGAAAAUACGUCUCUUUUUAAAGCUCGGUCAGCCUAAAGCAGAUGUGCUUUAUGUAAAAGCACCAGACAAAUUAGUUAAAUCGCAAUCUCUAGAUAAGAUACAGACUGUAGGAAGCAAGAAGUUAAUCCUUUCUUAUAAUUCCUGUUCCUUUCUCUGCUCUCUUUCAUUUUAAAGGCUUUCGCUGGCUAAUUAAUCCUAUGAAACACUCACCAUAUCAAACCAAGUUUCACAAUUAUUUAUGCUGUGCUUAAGUAAAUGCGGUUCAUUUGUCAAACAAGCUUAAGAGUUUCUCAGGACAAUGCACGAUUCAUCACACCCAAGGUGUUUGGGAAAGAAGCCCUGGAUCCUUUUUGCAAAUCUGGGGGAACUUUUAAGGCUAAAACCGACUGGCUCGGUAAACUAACACAAGCGUUGAAAAGUUUAAAAGCAUAAAGCUGUCAGCAAAAAUGUGGUCCACACAGGCAAUCCUUCCUACAAAAACAAACUAGACACUGGUGGUGACCCAGAGAAGGAGCCUCGGACCAGGAAUCUGCAAAGAGGAAUGAAGGGGGGAUUUGAGAGGAUGUUUCCAUUGAAACCAAAGCAUCCGAAAAAAAGCAUCUGACCAGAAUUUUACAGCUACAAACUGAGAGACGGACUUCCCAUGACACUGCUUUUAUCACCUUUUGGAAACAUCAUUAAAAACGCAGCCAGCGGCAGACAAUGUUAUUGUUGUACUAAAAUGCCUAUGUUGAUAUGUCUAGAACUGAAUAUUUUGUAUAUUCUGUAUCUCCUGUAAAAUAUUGACUCUUAAAAAAGUAAAAACCCCAAAAUGUA